GCCGAAGCUGCGGAUGUAUACUUUGUAUACGUGGUAGGGGAGCGUUCUGUAAGCCGAUGAAGGUGUGUUGAGAAGCAUGCUGGAGGUAUCAGAAGUGCGAAUGCUGACGUGAGUAACGACAAAACGGGUGAAAAACCCGUUCGCCGAAAGACCAAGGGUUCCAGUCCAACGUUAAUCGGGGCUGGGUGAGUCGACCCCUAAGGCGAGGCCGAAAGGCGUAGUCGAUGGGAAAAUGGUUAAUAUUCCAUUACUUCUGUGUAAUGCGAUGAGAGGACGGAGAAGGCUAAAUCAGCCUGGCGUUGGUUGUCCAGGUGAAAGGAUGUAGGCAUGUAUCUUAGGCAAAUCCGGGGUACUCUAUGCUGAGAUCUGAUAGCAAGCUGUACUUGUACAGCGAAGUGGUUGAUGCCAUGCUUCCAGGAAAAGUCUCUAAGCUUCAGUUACACAGGAAUCGUACCCGAAACCGACACAGGUGGUCAGGUCGAGUAGACCAAGGCGCUUGAGAGAACUCUGCUGAAGGAACUAGGCAAAAUGGUACCGUAACUUCGGGAGAAGGUACGCUGUUGUUGGUGAUGGAACUCGCUUCCUGAGCUGACGACAGCCGCAGAAACCAGGCCGCUGCAACUGUUUAUUAAAAACAUAGCACUCUGCAAACACGAAAGUGGACGUAUAGGGUGUGAUGCCUGCCCGGUGCUGGAAGGUUAAUUGAUGGGGUUAGCGUAAGCGAAGCUCUUGAUCGAAGCCCCAGUAAACGGCGGCCGUAACUAUAACGGUCCUAAGGUAGCGAAAUUCCUUGUCGGGUAAGUUCCGACCUGCACGAAUGGCAUAAUGAUGGCGGCGCUGUCUCCAGCAGAGGCUCAGUGAAAUCGAAAUCGCUGUGAAGAUGCAGUGUACCCGCGGCUAGACGGAAAGACCCCGUGAACCUUUACUGCAGCUUGACACUGAACUUUGACCUUACUUGUGUAGGAUAGGUGGGAGGCUUUGAAGCGGGAACGCUAGUUCCAGUGGAGCCGUCCUUGAAAUACCACCCUGGUAAUGUUGAGGUUCUAACUCUGUCCCGUGAUCCGGGACGAGGACCGUGUCUGGUGGGUAGUUUGACUGGGGCGGUCUCCUCCUAAAGAGUAACGGAGGAGUACGAAGGUGCGCUCAGCGUGGUCGGAAAUCACGCGUAGAGUAUAAAGGCAAAAGCGCGCUUAACUGCGAGACCCACAAGUCGAGCAGGUACGAAAGUAG
rnacentral:rRNA from 1 species